UGUCGGCUCUUCCUAUCCUGGCCCUGCAUAAGGGGCCAAGGGUGAGGCUGCUCGCCUAUUAAAAGGGAACGUGAGCUGGGUUUAGACCGUCGUGAGACAGGUCAGACUCUAUCUGCUGGGAGUGCUGGCCGCCUGAGGGGAAAGUGUCCCAAGUACGAGAGGAACGGGAUGCUGCAGCCACUGGUCUACCGGUUGUCCGACAGGGCACCGCCGGGCAGCUACGCUGCUGCGGAUAAGAGCUGAAAGCAUCUAAGCUCGAAGCCGCUCCCGAAAAUAGGC
rnacentral:rRNA from 1 species